GUGCAAUCAAUAUACAUAUACAGAUGAUAGACAGCUAAAGGAAUCUCCAAGAUGUUAGCAAGCAUGUGUAUGUGCAUGUGCCAAUGUGAACUUGCUUCUGGUAUGGAUUUUUCUUUUCUUUUUUUGUUUUUUUUUCUCUGAGUGCUGUAAAUUUCCAUUCGCUGUCAAAGGAAGAAGCUGAAUGGGCAAACAAUGUCCUUUGCGACAAAACUGAAAUAUAAUGUGGAUAGUUAUCUAAAGCAAACUAAUCAGGCAUGUUCCGAAAGGGUAUGCCUACACUAUCAAAAAGUAAUGCAUACAAACUUAUCCUCAAACCCAUACCUGCCUUCCAUCCACAAUGAUUAAUCUUAAGGAUUUUAGGAGCUCUUGAUUGAGGAUGAUCUAUGAUUUUACGUUAAUCAUAGAUUUAGAUUAAUUUAUUAAUGAGUCCAAACCCAUUCCCAGCCACUGCAUAGACCCAAACUCUUGUUUAACUGAUAUGGACAGACUAGGCUGUGGUGAGGCUGAGCAUACUACAUUCCUACAUCAUCAUCAGAUGAAUGAAGCACAGCUUUUUCCAUGGAUAACAUGGACCUCUGAGCUAUAAAAGCCAGUGUGGAUGGAAAGCUUUGAAAUCAUGGGUAUCCUUACAUCCACUUUUGAAACUUCUUUUCACCUGGCUGGUGAAAUGUGUAGACAUACCUAUGGAGGAUCAUGUCUUCUGCUUGAUAGCAAAUAUUUAUCUGCAUUGAUAUCGUUCAAUAUUGAUUCCCAGGUUGUACACUUGAGCAAAGGAAAUUGUCGUGUUGGAAGAAGGGAAAUAGUUAAGAACAGAAGACCUUAGUGCUGUUGAGUUACUCACAUGUUCUGACUGAGAGCACUAAGUCACUUCAAGGAGGCUGACAAUGAACCACAGCCAAUCACUAUUUCUCUCAGGAAUAGUCAGUGGUAAAACCUAAGCCCUGCUUACUGGAUUUAUUUACAUUUUGUAUUCAUUAUACAGCAUUUCUACCUGAGAGGUUGAGUAAGAGGUUGGAGGAGAUUAAACAUGAAUAAGAAACCCAUGAUGCAGGAUGUGUCAUUACAUACACUGGACAGAAUUCCAAUUUAAAUAUAUCUGGGCUGCCACUGACAAACAAUUUAAAAGCAACAGAUUUUUUACAGAUUUCUUUUGCUUUUCAUGAGGUUAUCCUCUUAUUUUUACAAAAAAAAAGGGGGGGGGGGGAGAGAGAGAAAGAGCAAGAAAGAAGAAAAAGAAAUGAAAGAAAAAAUGACUUUCACAGGUGAACAGUGCAUGUACAAUAUAUGAUAUUGACUGUGAUGUGGUUGUGAGUUACACUGAAUUGUAAGCUGCCUUGCUCUCUGUUUUCCUAAGGCUAUUCCUUGUGUCAUAUAUUGGUAUGUGACCCACAGCUGAGUGGCUAUUUCUUCUGUUCUUCUACCUGAGCCUUUAUAGCUCUUGGUAAUGUUUGGGAAGAGGACGGAGCUGAUAACCAGGGAAAUGGAGGCAGUGUAUUCCUCGUUAUCAAGUGUCGUAUUAGCGUACUGCUGAGUUUAUAGAGGGGUAAUAGCCCACCCCAAAGCAAUCUCCAGUAGUUCCACUUGCCAGUGGCAGAUGGAGAGCAAAAAAGCACAAAGAGUGUCAUGUUUUUGCUGGUGACCUAACAUCAUAAAGGAAAUGUAGACUCCAAAAUGGCUGGCAGUCCCCAGAUUAUCGUUAUUAAGUAAAUUUUUUUUUAAUCAAGAACAAAGUGCUCAUAUUUAUUCAAAAGAACAUUGUGUGGAGCAUGUUAAAUUCUGACUGCAGGAAUGGAUUACAAUCAAGUAGAUCCCCAAUGCUUUGAAAAUAAUUUUCACACACUAAUGUUUCUUUCACUGUUUUCAGACCACUUCAGAGAAGAGUAUGAUCUUACUGAGGCAGAGGGGCUCAGAUCUGUCAGUACCUCUCUGUAUAGAUCUGUUUGAGAGUGUGCAGAUUAUUUUUCUCUUGCCUUCUAAAGAAAAAAAUGUGCUACUUUAAGGAACUCUGCUCUAACUUUUAUGGGCUAAGGUCUUUUAUUUAUGGUUUUUAUUUUUAGGCAGAUUGGUGGUGAAUUACAAUACACCAUGACAGCUGAUAUUCACAUGUUAUAGCUGUAGCAUUAGCUUCAGUUGUUCUCCAUUUCAUUGCAAUGAUCUCUUAAAAUUGCAGUCAUACUUAAAAAGUAAUUACAUUUUGAUUCAAAGUGGAAAAAAGACAACUAUUUUUAUUGUUUAUGAGAUCUUGUGGCAUAUGGGUAUUUGUCAGCAAGCUAUAUAGUUCCUGCUGGUGUGUUUAUUUUGCUAAGUGUGAGGCAUACUAAAAAAUGACUAAUCAAGUUGCCCUUUUCAACCUGCUGACCUUAUAAAGAUAAUAAAUCCAUACUUUCCAUUCUGGUAUUGCUGAAUAAACAAUAUACCAACAGUUUGAAACUGGUACAAAACUGGAUUGGUAGACAAAAAAACUAAAAAUGAUCUGUCCAACUGUCAGUUCUGUAUGGUAAGAGGAAUGCUCCUAAGUCUUUUCAGAAUAAUGAACCUUAAUAGAGGUUAGAAUUCCCUCUUUCUCUUCCCUCUUUUUCUUGUAGAAAGAUGGAAAGGAAAAUGAGUAGAGACAACUGAAAUCUUGUCAUCUUCUAGCAUGUAAGAUAAAGGUUUUAAGUUAUGCCACCAGAACCACAGGAAUGUUUGGUAACUUUUUUCACUAGAAUCACAAGCCACUUCGUAAAUGGAAGAAUGAACAACAAUACAGAAACCAUUACAUAAGCAUUAAAGAUUUACCUAGCAUUAGAUGGUUCUUUUUUAAUUCCUCUUUACAAACAUCAAAUAUGAAAACAGCUUUUCCACAGUUCCAGGAAUCUUCCAGAAUUGUUCUUGUUGAAGAUGAUCCCUCAAUAAGCAUCUUUUAAAAUAAAACAUUUUAAUUCUUCUCAGUUCCUUCCAGAUGUUGGAAUGCUUUGAUACAGCAGAAUGAGUACUGGAAACUUUCUUUCAAAAUAUUAGAUGCUAUUAUUAACUAAUCCACAGAACCAGGGUUUGAAGAGUGGGGUGGGGGAAGAGUGAAUAUAUGACUCAUGUUAGCAUUGCAAGAUCUGACAGUACUAGAUUGUGCAUCUGAUUUAUAAAGAUUUUUUUUUUUUUUGACUGGAUUAUUAUUAUCGUUUUCAGAAGGGAAAGAAAAAAUAUAAAUAAACAUGACUUCUCAGCAAUGACUUCUUCCACCAUCUGGAUCUCUUGAGAAGAUUAAAAUUCUAUUUGUUGCUCAAUAUUACUUUAUUGGAUAAGAUAAUUAAUAGUUUUUUGAAGGGCUUCAGUGAGAUGAAAAGUCAAUUUUUGAUAGGAACAGAAUAUAUUCACAAGGUGGAUUACUACUCUGCUUUUAUUUCUAUAGUUUCAUGAGGGGUGUAACCAUUUCUUUGCUCUCUCAGUGUUUUCUGCUCAGAGAACAACUGUAAUCAUCAUGCAUGUUCCUUUCUACUUCAUAUUAUAGCAUCCAUGACACAGAUUACUCUUUUGAAGGUUAGGUGACAGGAGAGAUCCUGCACUAAAUUCACCCUCUGAGAUGAAUUCAUGCUUGCUGCCUUCCUGAAGUUGUACAGGAGGAUAUUUCUUGCUUCCCUGUUUCAAAGUUUUUUGUUAUAAUUAUUCUUCACUGCUUUUGAUGUGCUUGUGAUGAAGUAAUACCAUUACCAGUAGAUAGCAGAAGUCAACACAGUUAAAAUACUCUAAAGUGUGUAAAAGGCAUUUUUUGAUCCUUGUUAUGUAAAUGUCCUUGAAGAUUUCUGCUUCAUGUACUGACCAAACCAAGAUUUUCUAUUGUUAGCAAUGCAGAGCUAUUGCAAUCUGAAAGAAUGAGCUAUGUUCUGUUCUGAUGCAUGCAUCAUCAGCAAAAUUGUCAGCUACAUCUUAGUCACUGCACUUCUAUUAUGGGAACUUUUAGAAGUGAGGCUGGGUUUGUAGAGUUUGCAGACACUCAGAUUGCCUUUUUACUUGUAUGCUGAACAGACAUGGCAUGCAAAUCCACAUAAACCAGCAAACACUGAAUAGAACUCCCAUCAUGUUACUUUUAUGGUGUGGAUUUUGUAGUUAUUACCAACCUUUGGAGCUAGGAGGAAAAGUCCCAUUAUUACUUUGUUUUGUUUACAGAGAUGUCUGCCAUUUCAUUUCCACCAUGAGUUCUGUCUUGCAUGUGUAAUUCUUUGCUUGAAAGCAUUCUAAUCACAGGCUUGAGGAUUGACAUUUUACCUGAUAAUAGCUAAAUAAAUCUGUGUGCUUUAAGAGCCUUUGCUAAUGUCAGAGAAAAUGAAAAAUAUAUUUACUGUUUAAUAUGUGCCAAGAUUUUCAUAACACAGUUGUGUUAUGAUUGUAGUGUCUCUUGAUGGUGCCUCUUGGUUGUAGUGGGAAGCCUCACAACUGAAACCGAAUUGGUUCAUGGAUAGCAUGACUGCCUGGGGCUUUCUAACUUAAGGAAAUAACAGGGCCUGCAUCUCUGCUGUUGUUUCCAACUAACUGUCCCUGCUAACUUCUGAAAGUGUCCUCCUUGCUUCAGAAAACUAUGUCCAAAAAAACUUUUAUUUUUCAUCUUAGAGAUGUCAGUGCACAGUUUUCAUUUUUCACACUUAGAGAUGUCAGAUGCUGGCUGAGUGGACAAAGUAAACUGGAGUAUGCAUCAUAGGGAUUUUAUUCCUAAGUAGCUGUGAGACAUUUCUCUUACAUGGUUAUUAACACAAAGCAGUACCCAGAUAGGUGAUGCAUGUAGGUUCCUGAAGAAGAUUUGUCCUGCCUUUUCGAUUAGAUUCUCAGAAGGAACUGUAUUGUACACAGAAAAUAAGGAUGACUAUUGGAAACAAGUGAGGAUGAGUACAUUCUACUGUAUCUUAAAGUAGGUAUGAUUGUUUCCGUAGGAUAUUGUCAGAGAAACAGAGCUGUUCUGGUGAAGGAUAUACACCUUUCCUUUAGUAACUAGUGAGGAUAUAUUAUGCUGGCUCAUCUCUUUCGCUACCUUAUUUGUGGAGACUUUAGAUUGUUCAAUUGAAGUUUUUUGGAGGUGAUUUGUUGAUUUCAGCAGAAGUUCUAUCAGCAAAGCAAGGCGUAUUUGCAAAGAACUUUUAUGCUUUUGCACAGGGGAAAGCAUUUCAGUAACUUCUGCUUCUGAAAGUGUCUAUGAUCUGUGGCUGUCAUCCUGGAAAACAUCCAAACCCCCUGCACAACUUUUGCUAAUACUCCAUCUCAGUUGUGAGAUAGAUUAAGAUGCUUGUUUGUAUUAAUUUUUGUUUGUUUGUUUGUUAUUUUUCCAUUCAAAGUUCCAACAAAAAUUCCCCAUGUACUGGAUGCUGAACCAACAGAUAGUUCCAGCUCAGCUCCAGACAGCUUUGUUCCCUGGACAUUAAAGCUCCACAAGGAAGUUACUUUCAGAAAUAAGCAGAUAACUGAUGUCCCACUGAGAUAGUGCUGUUGGAGAUCUUGGUCCUCCUUUCUAACGUAAUGAUCUCCAUGUCUCUGAGAUGUUUAAUGUGAAAACUGAUCUUCCAAAGAUGGAAGAAGUGGUGAUGCUGGUGGGUUUUUUAUUUCUUUCCUAACUCAUAAUUUUAUAAAAUGAAAUAUGAUGCGUUGCAUUUGCAUUUUUUAUCAGGUAUAAUUAUAUUUGCCUAUGUAUAAAACUCACACAUGUUACAAAGGACUUCUUUUCCCAACAGAGAAGUUAUCCUUCAAAUUAUGACGUAUCAUAUGACAAUUUUCUUUUAGUUGUGUAUUAAUUGCAAAAUAAAUCUAUCCAAGAACAAGAUUUCUAAUUUUUUUUCUUCCUGAUGACAGGCACAAAAUCUCUGAGUCAUGAGAAAAUGACUUCUGUAAGUUACAGAUUUUUAAAAAAUGCUAUUGAUUUGGGCCAGUGGUCUGCGUAGCUCCAUAUUUAUCAAUUCUUCCCCUUGAAUUAGCUAAAGCUCACCUCAGUGCUAAGACUUCAGGCUAUAUUUUCUCCAUGUGGAUUUAGGCUAUAAUAAAAAUAUUGAAGAAUUACUAAAACUUUCAAAAUGAUUUUUCUGCAUACUUCACAAUAGGUGAGUUCUGUCCUACAAAGCCAGACAAAUGUGAUUUUAUAGUGUAGUUAAUUUUCAUGAACUGCCUUAUUGUAUGCAUACUGACGAUUUCCGGAGUUCACAGUUUUUCUCCUGCUGCAAAAGAUUGCUUUGAAUUCCUAAUGCUCCCAAUAACCUAUCCAAACAGGCUAUAUAUUUGAAUGUAAUGCCCAUAUGCAUAUGAUUUUAGAUGCUCUAUCAGCAAAAAAAUUGAAUCUUAAAAAAAAUAAAAUAAUUACUCGGGGAUUUUGCUUUACUCUGAGGGCAUUCAUUUUGUCAUGCCCUGUGGCAUUUUACAAGUAUUGGAACUGGCAUUUGGCUUUAGAUUCCAAAGAUCUAUGCAGGAAGCUUUACAUUGUUUCCUUUACCCUUUAACUCACUAAACUCUAUAUUUUAUCCUGGCAAAAAUAUUAAGGGAUCCAAGUAAAAGCACAAAGGAACUUGAUUUAAAACCAUAAGUAGAUGAAUGCCUGUACUUCUAGAUUGUAUGUAAAGAUAAAUGACUUAAAGGAGAAAUAAUGUUAAGUGAAAAGGCAUUAUAUAUUCAGCCAGACCUAACGUUGAUCUCAGCAACUGUUAUGUGACACAGUUCCAUUGCAAUCAAUAGAAUGAUGAUUUGCUACAGCCAAGAUACUAUCCCAUAAUAUUUUCAGCAGAUCAGAAACUACAGGGACGCCUGCGUAGACUUUUUUCAAUGACAUCAAGUCAUUAGUUAAUUUUUAGAAGAUGAAAAUGAUGCAACAAUUAACUUCCCCAAAAUAUGUCAUAAUGAAUAUCAAACUUGAUCAUACCCACACAAUAUUUUGUCAUUGUUGUUCUCCUCACUUUUACAGAUGCCACCAUCACCACAUAUACAACCAGAACAAAAUUCAUCUUUUCAUAAUAACACAACUUUUUAGUUCUUACUAAUAUUCAGAUAUUCUCCACCACAAAACAAUUAUUCUCUAUUUUCUAUUUUCAUUUCCUCUGUGUAACACUUCUUUCUUGUCUUUAUUAAAUCUUACCUUAUUGAUUUCAGAUUUUUUUUCAGUCUAUUGGAUCUUUUAAAAUUCUGAUCCUUAUUCUAAGUGCCUAUCAUUGUUACACAACUUGUAAACAUUGGUAAACACUGUAAAUGAUCUUUCACCAUCUAAAACACUAAACAAAAUUUUGAAAUACAUCCCAAGUAGGAUUGUUCUCUGCAAGGUUCUGUUUCAUACACCCUUCCCGGUUUGGUACAAGGCUGCUCUAAUAAUACAUAGUUUCCACUUUCUGUGUUUCAUCUCAUUCCCUUUGUUUAGUCAUACUAGUCCAUUCCUUGGUACAUGCAGGAAGUGUUCUAAUUUAUCAUAUAGAUAUUCACCCUAGUCAUGUAGGAUUAUGAAGCAGGUAAAAUUAAUUCUUCGUAAUAGUUAGAUGAAAAGAAUGCCACCACAAAUGUAUGUAAAUAUGCAUAGAUGCAGACAUCUUUUUACUCCUUUCUUUUAGUCAUGAAUAUCUGACUACUGUUAUUAACAACUCUAGGACUGUGGGGUAGAGAUAUUGUCAUCUUCCAUAAUUUUUCUCCAUCCGUUCCACCAAGAGAAAUUCACCAAUUCAUGUGGUGUUUUUUUCACAGUAGUGUAGGACUACUAGUGAUUUUUCCUUGGUAAAUCACCUUUCUUAGAAGAGUGCUAAAUCACACUGUUCCUUGAUACCUAUACUAAAAUGCAAUAUACUAUCUCAAAAAGAUUGCCUAAUGAUCAAACCUCUCCUAAUACAAUCUUUUCCUCCUCUUCAUUGUGCCUUUGUAUUCCAACUAUUGUUCUUCAGACUUGAAAAUUGAUAUUGUUUUUUUCCUCUUCUGGUUCCAAAUCUCUUGAGAACCCAAACAAUGAAAGUAUCCCCCCAAAGAAAGUGUUUAGAUAGAUGUUUAACGGCAAUCCUGAGAUUUAAGUCUAAAUUACAGCAUCAGAUUUCAUAGCUAAUGGGAAUGUAGCUCUGCCCGUCCUCUCAUUUCUUUGCACACAACAGGAGACUUGACAAAAUGUUGUCAUCACAGAAAUGUUAUCCUUAUUUGUAGUUUUUUUUUUUUCCCUAGUCUGUUUGCAAGUGAUCAUAUUUAAGUCAGAUGGAGCUUUUGGGGAGAACAAUAUUUCAUAGGAAUCUGCUUUGGGUACUUUGGCAACAUCUACCUUCACUUUGGAGAAUUGUUUGAUAUUAUCUCUCCUACAACAUUACAUGCAAAAUUAAUGUGCAGAUAAAGCAUUUGAUAUGAAUGGAAAUAAGAAAAAUGCUAUAUAUUGUUCAUUUACCUUUCAGUACAUGUAGAAACACCCAACUUCUCACACAACUGGCAAAACACAGCACCCUGGUGGCACUGCUGUGGUGUGCAUUAGAAGGUUGGGAGCGUGCAUUCAGUCUCAUUUCAGAGUGUGCAUCAGAUGCUACCUCUCAGCUCAGGCUGUGGAGGUGAUAAGACAGCAUACCAGAUCUAUUUAUAACUGUAACCUUUACAGCAUUAUUUUCCGAACUAAGCUAAACAUGAUAACACCAUCAGGCUGCAUCUCAGAGCUGGGGUGGUGAUGUAGCACAGUGUCACAGUGGUAUGGUAUAGUGCUGUGCUCUCAUGUCAUAUACUGGCUCAUAUCAGUUACAGACAGAAAACAAUACCACUAAGUGCUCUAGGGGAAGGAUGCCGUCUCUUCUUAGAAUUACUAUCUGAUAUUAAAAUGAUACUACACUCAAUUGUAUUUAAAGCAUCAGGAUGAGCAGAAACAUCCUGAAGCACAGUGAGAAAGUGAGUUUUUAAUGGUAUUUCAUUCUUCCAUCAGUACCUCCUAUCAAGAUCUACUGUACACUUUUCCUGAGGUAGAGCUGAUGUUGAUCUGAUGAAAGUGGAGAUAGAUGAGAGUUCUGCUGUUUAACUGUGUGCCUGCAACAGCAAUUUUUGUCUUUAAUUUUUGUUAUUUUGUAAAAAGGCAAAGGAAAAAAUAUCAUUAGACUUCUAUCAAAAGUUGGAAGCCUUUCUUCCUGCACAUGAGAAGAACAAGGAUUCACUAGUCUUAGACUGCUUCCAGCAACUGUAUUGCCAGAAAUGAACUGAUACUUUUAAACAUGGGAUAAUUUAUCAACUACAUUUGCUGUAUAAAUCCUCCAGGGAAAACCUGUGCUAUGACUGUAAAAGCUGCAGAAUAUCUCAUUUUCCAUUUUUCCUAAUUUUUAACUUUUCUCACCAUUUUUCAUGUAUUUCAUCCUCUUCUUUCUUCCUCCCUUUCUCCUUUAUGUUCCUUCCUUUCUCUUUCAGUUCUCUGUCAUCACACAAUUCCCAUUGCCUUCUCUCUUUUAUGUGAAGGUUUCUGUCCUUUGAUAGUAAUGUAAUAUAUGCUUUCAAUAGAAGGUACUCAAAACAGUUUAGACAUCGAGCAUACUACAUGGCGAAAACCCUCAGUUGUCAGUAUCCAGUCAGAAUAGGUGACCUACUCACUGCAAUUCAGUACCUGUGCCCCCAGAGACCCCCAGGGAUUUCAGUACCUGUACCUGCGGUGGUGACCAAUCAAGGCACAACCAUAGACCUCAUCAGAUUGCAGUGAGAUUUCAUUCAUCAUACAAACUUCCUGAGAUGUAUUUACUAAAUGAAGUUCCACCUUUUAUAGGAGACUACGUAUUCAAACCUGACAGGAGCUAGAGAAAGUUUUCAACAAGAAUGUUUUUAUGCUGCAAGUAGAUUUGUAUUCAUUACAUAGCUGUGGGACCACAAGUCCACACUAGUAAAUGUUUUGAUAAAAGAGGUCAUGACCCCAAAGGUUGUCUGAUUGCAACAUAUCACUUAUCCUAUGAAAGAUGAUUACAAUAGGCAGUCACUGAUAGUCUUCUAACAUUCUUAAGGUGACUUUUAACUUAUUUAACUAAGGAAAGGACACUUCUCCUUCAAGGUUGUUCUGUACUUAUAGAAUCUGUUAGACUGCUGACUGAGGAACAAAGGCCUCUGCCUAGUGGUGUAUGUACUGCCAUUGUAAUAAGAUGUUGCAUGCUUAGCAGCACUUUAUGACAAGAAUGGUUCAAAUCCUGGUCCAGACACAGUCCUCAAAGCCGAGGGCAAUAUAACUGCUGGUUCUUCUAUUCCAGAUAAUGCAAGGAUUCACUGCCAUGAUGCUGCAUGUACUUGCAGUCCAUGAUCUCCAUGCAGCCUUCUAGAUAAUCUUCUCUUUCUCUUUUGAAUCUCUUUGUCAGGAAGGAUGCAAACAUUUUCAUUAGCUAUGCUGAAUGUCCCCAUCAGUAAGCAGACAACCUAUCUUUGAGCACAGACUGAAGGACAGCCUUCCUUAGCCAUCUUAAUCAAAUAAACAUCUAUCAAGGAAACAGGCUUUUAAUUGAGUUGCUGUCUAGAAGCAUCCUUUCAAGUUUGAGUAUAUCAGUCAGUUAGUGCAAGGGUCAUACAGUUGAUUCAAAGUGAUAAACUUGGUAUGUUUGUCAGGUCUUGGGCUAGACAGAUUAAAAGAGAGUCUCUUUAAAAACAUUGGGCUGAUGCUGUCAGUAAGAAAGGAGGGGUUGAAACAUAGAGAACACUGUAUACAGAAGACAUACAAGGAUUGUUUCAAAGUAAUGCCUCCUAUUUUAUGAUGCUGGCUCACAACAUCAGAGGUGGAUGUCGAUCUAAAAUGUAUUGCUUUUUUCCAUCUCUCUCCUUUUAGAGGACAUAAUGCAAUAGAAGGGUAGGAGAAGAGAUACCUAGACUGUACCUUCUCCAAGUUGUCUCCUUAGGUUUACAGAUACCCAACAUCUUCUUUAUUGCAUUUUGAUAUUGAAAAAGAUUAUAUAGCUAAAUGAUUAACUUCCUUAGUGGUACAGCUGAAAUUAUUGCUGACAUUUCAGCCUAAUUUAACACAGAAAUCUUUAUUUCAACCUUAUGGAAGGACUUUUUUUUCUCAUGCUCAUAGCAUUUCUGUUUUUAAAAAGGAUAUUUUCCAAUUCUUAAUACAAUAGCUAAUGUUUCCCUCCCUCGCCGUCUGGAAAGGUCUCCUUUUCCUGUCCUAGUUCAUGAAAUUAAAAGUUUUGCCUCCUUUUUUCCUCCUGACUAUCUAUAAUAGGCAAAAGAUAUUAAAACUCCUAACUAAAACAGCAAUAUUACUUCUAGUGCUGUACUUUGAUAACCUCCCUCACCCUAGGCAAACCUCUGAAAUUGCAAUUACAUCUGUUUAUGACUGGGGAUUGUGAUCCAAGCUUUCUGCUCAUAUAACCAGUGGAUUUCUCCAGCUGCAUAAUGGAAUUUUGCCAAAAGAAGAUUUGGCAGAGAGUCAGGUUGUCUCAUCUAGAGAGAAGUCAUAAUGGAAUUUAAAAAACUUCUCUUGUUUUUAUUGUCAGAGAAGAGGGGAUGAGAAAAAUAUAAGCUGUAAGAUUCAAUUUCAUCUCACUCACAAUCUCUCAGAUGUAAGCCUAAACUUAUUUUCUUUUUUAGAAUCAAUUUCCCAAGAAAGGGCAAUGCAAAUUCCACAUCUAGCUCAUCCUAGCAACCUUUUACCUUGAAUUUCACGUAGCCUUGAAACACUGACAUUGGUGGUGCAGAGAAUUUGCAGCAUACUAGUUAAUGCUAAGAUAUUUUGUCCCCUGUGCUUUCAUAGUAGCAUUAGCAUCUUAGAUUCACCCACCUCAUUCUUAACCCACAACCUACAAUCAGGUUGUCACUCACAUCACAUCUACCUGCCUCUGGCAAGAGGAAAGAAUGUUUUCUUUGAAAAAAUUCUACAGCACUGAUGCCAAAUAUAAAUUAGCUGGGACAGGCAUAGACAUCUUUCAUUUGCUUAAACAAAUUAGUCUUCUAAUGUCAGGUCAGGGCAUGCUGACUAAGUAUAGGGAAAACGAUGUAAUUAAAUAUUUAAUCACACAGGUUUCCUGAGAAAGGGACCUGUGACCACAAACAUUAGGCUCAGUUAUGAUGCAGUAGAAUGCAUUCAUUCAGGGAAUGGCUAACAACUGCCUUAUCUAGGUGUUGUUAUUCAUUAAAAACGCAUUUUUUGCUCUCUUUAGUGCUUGUAUUAAUUGCAGUCACAAUUUUUUUGAUGACUUUGAAGACACCUAAAGGGAAGGAAUGGACUCUCUACAUAUAAUGAAGCCUUAUCUUUGAAAUGUUCUUUCUUUAGCUUUAUAUAAGGUAUGUGUACUGCAGCAUAAAUACUGUUUUGUCACCUGAGGUUUAGUGUGCAGGAAUUUGCACAGAGGAAUGGCUUCAAGCUGCACCAGGGAAGAUUCAGGCUGGACGUUAGGAAAUACAACUUCUCUGAAAGGGUGGUGAGGCACUGGAAUGGGCUUCCCAGAGAGGUGGUGUAGUCACCGAGCCUGGUGGUGUUCAAAGAGCGUUUGGAUGUUGUGUUGAGGGACAUAGUUUAGUGAGAAUCAUUGGUGAAGGGCAAAUGGUUGGACUGGAUGAUCCGGUGGGUCUUUUCCAACCUUAGCGAUUCUAUGAUUCUAUGAUUCUGUGAUUCAUCCUCCUACAUGCAGACAGGAAGGCUGAACAACUCAGAUGAAGCCCCUCUGCGUAGUACAGCUGGAAUGAGCUGUCAAGAUUAUGCUAGAAUCUGGAAGGAGAAACUUGGUUUGAAAUACUCUAACGUGGUCAACAUUAAUGAUUUUAGGAACAAGUUAGUAACUGAGAAGGAUGCACACAAAUAAAGUGUGGUGGACCAUAAUCCACAUAAGAGUCAUUGAGUAUCACAUGUUCCCACAUCAAUCUAUUUGUUAUCACCCUCUGUAGCACAAAGCUCAAAGAACAAAUUGUACCUGAUUUCUUCCUUGGUUUCAGUAUAUAACUUCAACCUAGUUAAGAUUAGGCUUUUAGUAUGGGAAAAAUAGCCAUCACAAGAUACAUCAUAUAUACUUAAAACUCUCUAUUAUCCAUAUAUUGUCUGGAAGAGGGUUUCAGAUACCCAGGCCUAACACAGCAAACCGACAUCCAACAUCUUGCACUAGGAAAAUCCUAAAUUCUAUGUCUCACUGAAGAUUUUCAAUGUAAAAAGAAAAAAAGAAAAAAACAGAAGAAUUUUCAAUUUAUGCCAGAUUCAGAUUUUCCUCUGAAGUUUUGCUUUGUAUGGUCAAUUUUCUUUUCAAAUAUUUUUUCAAAGUAAAAGGAGUUGGUUUGCUGGGAUGUUAUUUUUUGUUUGCUUUUAAAUGAGGUAUUUAUAUGAUAAUUCUGUUAAUUCUUACACACAUUUAAAUCAUUAAAUUAAAGUCUUUAAUAAUUCCUAACUGAAAAUGACUUCAAAGUAUUUUCUGAAUUUUUCAGAUAAUUGUGUCAUAGUAUAAUACAGGUUCUCUCUUUCUUCUUAUAUUCCUAUGUUCUUUGAUUCUUAAUGCCCAAUGAAUAUUUUGGACAGUCAUUUAUUGCAAGAUAAUCAUCCUACUAAAAUAAACAUAAAUUAUGCAUAAAUGUCAAUAAAUAUAUUCAUUUUCUGAAGACAAGACAACCUGUAAAAUAUCUUUUAAGUAGCUGCAGGCACAUAAUUAUUUCAAAUGUUAAAGCUUUUUUAAACUGGAAAUGAAUUUGAAGAUUGCCAUGAAUAAUGAGAUUAACAUGAAUGCGUCAAUGAUAUGGGUUGCAUGCAACUUCUCAAUUUCUCUAAUGCUGACAAGAAUCAAAGAAAUAUAUUUGUCAUUUUUGACCAGAUACAUUGUCUAACGUUGAACUGAUUUUUAUAAUUCAAAUUAUUUUGGCCAGUUCCCUAUAAACAUGGCACUAAUCAUAAAUGGUGAUAACAAAUUGUCUUCAAGAAAUCCAAGAGUAUGGAAGAGUGGCUAAGUAUCUUGCAUCUUGAAUAAUCAGUUUAAUGACACAGAAACACUUUUGGCUAAUAAAAUAGCUUUUAGUUAGGUGCCAUAAAGCUUCUUAAGAGUGAAGGUAAGCCCUUGGGUGCUUUAAAGUGCAAGCCUUAUGUAGAAGGUUAUGUCCUUCCACUAUAUUAGAUUCAAAGUUUCAUUAGUACCAUGUUGCAUUGUAAAAUGUAGUUUUUUGUACUAAAUACAUAAUGCAGAGAGUCUGAGCUUUUAUUCUUAUUCUCUGAUUGUACUCCACAGUUUCCUAAUUUUAAAAAGCAGAUAGACUUGUAAGUGUCUAUGUAAGCAAUGUUUAUUAUGGACAAGCAACGAUGGUAAUUAACUCUGGCAUUGUCCCAUACCUCUAAGUGUAAAAUUUUCUCUAAGCAGAUCUCAGAUGAAUUAUCCAACCAACCUCACUUAAUCAGAUCUUUUUAACAUCCUCUGUAAUUAUAUCACCUGUGCUGUUGAGCUUGGGAAUUUUCCAUUCUUCUUUCUGUCCUCUUUACUUCUCCCCAGGGAGUGGCAGUUUAAGAGAGAUUUCCAAUGAUACAGGUAGUUAAAUCAGGCAGUGCCACAGGGUUAUCUCUCAUGGCAAUUGCUGCAGACUGGUGGCAUGUUCAUCUUGGGAGGAAUUCAUGUUCCAAACUGAGUCAUUUGGGAACAGUGAAAGAACUCAUCCCUUCCCUGCAAAUAUGAAUCAGGGAGGUCCAUAGCUUGUGCUUCUUUCUGUGUUCAUCUGGUGGACCCAACCCAAACUUCAGAAAGUCCAGCAGCAAGAUUGCUCCACAGCUGGCAGAGUGCACCCAAGGUAUUGCUCCAGGUUAUGCAGGCCAUAAGCCCUCAAGUGCUUUGGUUUUGAAAUUUUCAAAUCUCUGCUAAUGUUUUAAGGGGAAUGCUGCAAAUCAGAACCUCCAGUUUUACAAAGAAUAUCUGUACAUUUUUGCUAGCAAAUUCCAAAGUGAGUGGUUCAGGUAGCCUGAUGAAAUAGUGUUGCAGUUCUCAUAGGUGUCGACAUUUGAAAAGAAGUACCUUGUUGUUUAUCUCUAACACCACAAACAGUAUCCCCCAUAGUUUCAUCAACUGAGAUUUAUAAUGGAAAGAAAUAGUUAAUGUGUUUAGCAGGUUUCCUGAAUCAAAUGUAUCCAGAACUGAUAAUAGCUAUUUAGCACUGUUUCAUUUCUGUAGGAAUGUCUUAAGAGCCUUAGAGACAGUAUUGAGAUCUUCAAAGCUGCCCUCAGACAAAAAUAUUUUCUUUUGACAGUUGUGAAAUAACAUGCCUGGCACAGUCCCUGUGAACAGUAAAUGAAAGCAAGUGAACUAAAAUUCAGAGAGAGUCAUUCCCUUUGCCAUAAGUCUGUAUGUUACAGCACACAAUACCGUGGCAAGACCUAGCUUGCAUGGAAGUGAAAUGCUCAAAAUACAACUUGGUUUUAGGGAUGAUAUUUCAGAUAGCUGUUAAGAAUGCAUUUAUGAAUGAAUGUAGUGACAUUAUUGGAUAACUGGAGUCAAUGACUGAAAGCAGAGGGGAAAAGAGAAGGCAAGAAGAAAUUUAAAAGAGAAAAUAUAGAGAAAAAGCAAAAGAUAAAGAGAAAACCAACCAAGAAAUUAAUAAAAAUAUUAUGCAGUGGAAAUUAAAAUCUAUGUCCCUGUGCUCUCAACUGAAGAAAAGCUGCAAUGAGGAAUAUCAGUAUGCAAAGGCAAUAGUAGCUAAAAAAUCUCUAAAUGUGUUGUGGAUUUUUUCUUGCAACAUCUGGUUCCUUUACUCUAGUUGAUUUUGACUGACAAAAUGUUCUCAGGUGUUUUUUGAUUUUGAAGUAAACAUUCUGGGAAAUUAAAUGUUGCUCCCAUAAUCAGGAGCAAUGACAUAAGAAAUACAAUAAAGAGGAAGUCCAAUUACAUGAUAGGAGUGUUAGAUUCAAGUUGAAAAUGAUAUUCAAAACUGUACUCUUUCAUCAACUUCAUAUGUUUUCCUUUGAAAAAAAGAAGUUGAGAAAAGUUUUCUUAUUUUUAUUUCACUUCACACAACCAGUGAAAAAGACGUGUGUCCUUGCUUCUCAUGCCCCAAGGGAAUUCCUCAGUGCAAAUUAACUGCAAUGGGAUUUUGCAUCUGUCACCUUCCUUCUCCACUUCAAGGAGAAAGUACAGACAACAUAUGUCUUUUAUGCUAGCCUUCCGGCCACAGAAAGUCCUUUAGGAGACUCCAAGUGCAAGAACUAAAAUACAAUUUGUCUGUGAGUGAUCAUGUAAAUUAGUGUACUGUAAUCAUCUCUCUUCUGUUUUCACCAACAGUCCUGCAGAGAUUUCAUGGUGAAGAGGAAAAUCUUUAUAACUUUAUCCCUUACCUACUUGCAAUAGGUAAGAUAUAUUAUGUACAGUUACAUUUUUACUUUCUUCCACCUCUGUGUAGUUGAUAAACUCUCUGGGAGGUGAAAGCAAUGGAAGAAACGGAACAGGUUGCCCAGAGAAGUUGUGGAGAAGUGUGAAUACCCUCUUUGGAGAUAUUCAAAAGCUGUAUGGACAUGCUCCUGGACAAACUGUUCCACCUGACCCUUGAGUAGGGGGUUGGACAAGAUGAUCUCCAGAGUUUCUUGCAACCUAAACCAUUGUUGCUCAGGAACUGUAAUAGGAUUAAAGCCAGAAAGAAAUUAUACUGCUUUAUAUUAGCUGAUGAUUUUGUCUUGCAGAUCUUAAAGGUUGGCUAUUUGUUCCUUUAGACAUCCUUUUCCCACUGGAUCUCUUAUCCCAAACAGAGGAAGGGAAUGCCUGCCCUGAAACUGAUUUUAGAAGUACCACCAUCACCUCAGAUAUGCAAUAUGUUGAAAACUGCACUCACCUGGUUCUUGAUGUGUUUAAUAUAAUGUUCUGCAAUUACUCUGCACUUCCUCAUCUUGUUGCUUUCCGUGAGAAUCUGAAAAGAUAAUAAUACUUCCAGUAUAAUCAUGAAGUUUCUAGACAUGUCAGUUCCUGUGCUUUUCCCCUACCUCGUUUCACUUUUGAAACAAGUACUGUACUACAUACAUUGAAGAUUUAGGUUUGAACUCUCACUAUAAUCAUUGUUUAGCUUUGAACUGUAUUCCCUGUAAGUAAUUGAGAUUACUAUAAAGUUGUGAUUGUGAAUGCAGGAGAAUGCUAAUGAACUGGAAUUCCUUCUCAAUCCAGAACAAAUAAUUGCAAAAAAGAAAGACUCACUCAUAUUCAGAUUAGGCUUUGCUCAGGCUAAGAUCAGUGUUUGAUUAGUGGAAAUAAGCUGUUUAACUAAAAUGAGAAAUGACCUUAAUAUUAACCUGAAGCUCAAACUAAAUCCACUUUCAAUUAUGAAAAAAAAAAUUGGUUUGUGUGUACAUUUGUCCUUUGGUUAUGUACCCAUACAUAAAAACAUUCACAGAGCAAAAUAAUGACUGCUCUCUCCAGAAGUUAUUUUAAAUAAGUCUUAGAAAUGUGAAGUAGUUAAACUUUCAAGGGAUAAAGCCAGUACCAUUUCAAAUUGUGUUAAACAAGAGGAAAAGCUACUCAGUAAAUGAAUUUGGUUUACUGUAAUAAUAAAAGCAAUUCUCAUGAGAUUUUCUGUAGGGUUUGUUUUCCAGUGUUUAUUAUUACCUUUAUUUUAAUUAUUAUAUAUUAUUAUUACCUUUAAUUUCUGUUCAGGAAUAAUUCUGAACUCUUGGAUUCUUAUUUAAAUUUAGCUAAGCACUCUGAGGGUAACCUGCAAAUUCAACCCAAAUCUCUCUCUCUCAAAAAAAGUCAAUUAAAUGCUCAAAUGGAUCACCUGCUCUACAUGACCUUACUUGAACAAGGUGGGUGGACCAGAUGACCUCCAAAGGUCCUUCCUAACCUCUAACAAUCUGUGAUUGUGUUGUUUUUUUGUUUUGUUUUGUUUUGUUUUUAACAACUAGCACCCCAAGCUUACAACAACAACAACAAAAACAGCUUUUUGUGGUUGCAACAACAACAACAACAAUAAACCAACAGCAACUGUAUUUUAUCUAUUUUGUUCAGAUGUGAGCCUCAAAAAUUAAAGCACUUUUGGUCCACUUAUCUGUCACCUUUCCUGGUGAUACACAUGUCAAAUAUGAAAAUAAUUACACUCACUCUAAAACAGAGGGAAAGAGAAAUAUAGGGGAAAAAGAUGGUGGUGCCAUCUCAAACAAAUGGACCCAACACAGUAAUAACAAUUAGAUGUAUUUUAUCAUGGGAUUGUGCCAGAUUUAACUUCAGCUUAUUUUUUUUUUCAACAUAAAGUAUCCUAACUCAAAAAACAUAUAUUUAUGCUUAAAAUCAAAGAUAAAUAGAUAAAGAUACGUGUAUGUAUUCACACACUAACAUACCUGAAGGGCAGAUAUCACUGAGUUAAGUACAAAGUCUGGCUUACCAGUGCUUUGUUACAGCAUUAUGCUGCCGAAAUAUAAUCUAUUUUCAUGUAGACAUAUCACUAUAAUAGCAGGUUAGUAUAGAUAAUGUGUAUAUGUUAUAUGCUGCAGAUACAAAGACAGACUACAGUGAUAGUAGAAUUCUCUUCUGGAGUCUGAAUAUAUUUAUAUCAGUCUCAGGUUUUUGUUAGGAAUUUAGCAUGAUGGGAACACUCAGGGAGCCAACAGAUCUCCACAACAUAUAUCAGAGCAUUGGUCAGUGCUAGGAGGCAGGAGUCACUGUACCUAAUGCUGUGGUACUGGAGGCAUAGACUGUAGACAAUGGGAGCAGCGUAUAUUUGUUUUCAGUUUGGCCCUUGACUAAAGACAGUUCAAGUAUUGAAGUGCAUUAUUUAGAAUAAAGAAUCUGCAUUGUUCUCUCCUUUAAUCAAGAUGAGACACAGGACACUUUAUUGAAGGUAGUUUCUCAUUCUCUCAAUAACCCCUCCAUUUACAUGGCUGAAAACUCAAGAGCUUAGCAAAGAAUUUUAAUCAAACCGCUUAAUCUGAAUAACUGCUGAAGAGAAACUGCAGUAAUAGAGUUAGAGGAUAGAACUGCUGCCAGCAAAAUGUAAACAGGUUUUAAAAAGAGCAACACUAGGAGCAGAAAGACAUCUUUGGAGGGAACUAUAUUGUACCAGCCCUCCUUUGCAGGAUUUUAGCAAUUCAAUUAGACAUCCUUACAAGUUUAGUACUUGUUGUUAGAAAUACACCUCCAUCCUCCAAUGCCAGUUGUUGAUUCAUAACAUCUGAUUUUGUAUAAUUAGAAUUUCUCUGUGGCUCAGAGGCCAAGUAAGCCUGAGGCUCUCACAUCUGCUGAAGAGCACUUGAGGUUUAAAAAGUGGAGCAGGUAUAACAUGUGGAGAGAAAUGGUGAAAAUCAGCAUCUACUCCAAGCACGGAAGAAGAGAAGAAAAACAAAUGUGCAUUGUAGGUAAAACUGAAGGGACUGCCUCCAAAUAAACUGCCCCCUCAGGGCAUACUGUGUAUAAGUUGUCUCAGAACUUUCUUAGCCUUUGUAGUGCACUAUGUGGAACUGUAGGAAAGUAAGACAGAAGGAGACAUUGGGAGAGGCUGGGGCUUGGGAAUUAAAUAGUUGUACAGUCCAACAGAUGGCCAACUUGCAAUGUUUUUCUUCAAGCAAAUUCCCAUGAAGGAAAAAUUUAGCCUGAGUUUUAAUCGUAUUAAAAAAGUAUGAAUGCAUUUCUGAUUCAGAGAGGUGGACUACAUUACUGGUUUCUUAUGUAUCCAGAGCUUUUAUCUGUGCUGCUGAAGUUGAAAAUUCUCUGGUGACAAAACUCUCAGAGAUAUGAUUAUUUAUCACAAAGGAGUAGCAAAUAACAGGGAUUUGGGACUUGGGAUUUGAGAGUUGAUGAAUUUUUCACUGGUAAUACAUGGUAAACUUGUCAGUUUGCAUUUAAUCUCACUUUAAUUUUGAGUUAAAUUAAAGUUAAAUAUCCUAGAAUAUCUGUUUUCACUGGAAAGCAUAUGUUGUUUGAAACAGGUUACAUAUUUGCCAAAAAGAUUUAUGAGAGAUAAUGGGUAGGAAACCAUCUUUGAAUAUCCUAUGAAACUUGAAGUCAGAGGUAUGUUGUGUGAGAAGAGUUGUGCAGAGAAAUGCUUAGACUACUGCUGCAAAAAUUCUUCUAACCUAUACUGGGCUUCCAUAACUUUCACCAACUCCCUUAACUUGGCUGCAGAAUGUGUAAAUUUAAAAAAUGUGUCCCACACAAUUACAAAACUUUUAGAACUGAUAUUUGUGAAAGGCCUUUGUAUACAAGUGAUUUUCUAAACGGUAAUAUAUAACAAUAUUCUACAUAGUCAGCAGUAAGAACAAAGACCAACCUCAAAAUUACCAUUGUACUUAUUCUCUCCAAUUACACAGACAAUGAAGGAUGAUGGAAAGAAGGCAAACCUGUAAUAUUGGGCUGGAUAACCCAAGAGAAUGGACUGGGAG
rnacentral:lncRNA from 1 species